AGGGGGAUAACACCUGGAAACAAGUGCUAAUACCGCAUAAGACCACAGACCGGCAUCGGUCAGAGGUCAAAGGAGAAAUCCGCUUUGGGAGGGGUUCGCGUCCCAUUAGGUAGUUGGUGAGGUAAGGCCCACCAAGCCGACGAUGGGUAGCCGAGCUGAGAGGCUGAUCGGCCACACUGGAACUGAGACACGGUCCAGACUCCUACGGGAGGCAGCAGUGGGGAAUAUUGGGCAAUGGGCGCAAGCCUGACCCAGCAACGCCGCGUGAGGGAAGAAGGUUUUCGGAUUGUAAACCUCUGUCGCAGGGGACGAAGGAAGUGACGGUACCCUGUAAGAAAGCCCCGGCUAACUACGUG
rnacentral:rRNA from 1 species